UUUCCGUAGGUGAAUCUGCGGAAGGAUCAUUAACGUAUAACCGAGGUUCGAUGACUGUCGUUGACCCGAAAGUUCGUGCACGCCCGAGUGCCCCCGCACAUGACCAACUCACACCUACUUGCACCGCCUCGUCGGUCGCCCUUUGGCGGGUUGUGAGAGGGUCUUACGGUUUCACACGAACUUUGUAGGCAGUGUAGAAUGUGGUUUGUCUGCUGGCUAAGCCGCAGUCAAUACAACUUUCAACAAUGGAUCUCUUGGCUCUCGCUUCGACGAAGAACG
rnacentral:misc_RNA from 1 species